rnacentral:rRNA from 1 species
UACGGAAGGCAGCAGUGGGGAAUAUUGCACAAUGGGCGAAAGCCUGAUGCAGCUAUGCCGCGUGUAUGAAGAAGGCCUUAGGGUUGUAAAGUACUUUCAUCGGGGAGGAAAAAACAAAACUAAUAAUUUUAUUUCUUGACGUUACCCGAAAAAGAAGCACCGGCUAACUCCGUGCCAGCAGCCGCGGUAAUACGGAGGGUGCUAGCGUUAAUCAGAAUUACUGGGCGUAAAGAGCACGUAGGUGGUUUUUUAAGUCAGAUGUGAAAUCCCUGGGCUUAACCUAGGAACUGCAUUUUGAAACUGAAAUACUAGAGUAUCGUAGAGGGAGGUAGAAUUCUAGGUGUAGCGGUGAAAUGCGUAGAUAUCUGGAGGAAUACCUGUGGCGAAAGCGGCCUCCUAAACGAAUACUGACACUGAGGUGCGAAAGCUGGGGAGCAAACAGGGAUUAGAUACC